AAGUCGUAACAAGGUUUCCGUAGGUGAACCUGCGGAAGGAUCAUUACCGAGUUAGGGUCUUAUAGGCCCGAUCUCCAACCCUUUGUUUACUAUACCAUGUUGCUUUGGCGGGCCCGCCUUUCGAGGCCGCCGGGGGCUUUCAUACCCUUGGUCAGUGCCUGCCAGUAGCCUUCUUAAAUUCUUUUUAUAAUUAUGUUGUCUGAGUAUAAAUAUAAAUCGUUAAAACUUUCAACAACGGAUCUCUUGGUUCUG
rnacentral:misc_RNA from 1 species